rnacentral:rRNA from 1 species
AGAUUGAACGCUGGCGGCAUGCCUUACACAUGCAAGUCGAACGGUAGAGUAGCAAUACUUGAGAGUGGCGAACGGGUGAGUAAUAUAUCGGAACGUGCCCAGUCGUGGGGGAUAACGUAGAGAAAUUUACGCUAAUACCGCAUACGAUCUAAGGAUGAAAGCGGGGACCGUAAGGCCUCGCGCGAUUGGAGCGGCUGAUAUCAGAUUAGGUUGUUGGUGAGGUAAAAGCUCACCAAGCCGACGAUCGUGUAGCUGGUUUGAGAGAACG